rnacentral:lncRNA from 1 species
GGCACGUCUGAAUCCGGAGCUGGGGUUCUUACCCACUCCAGUGACUGCCUCUCAGAAAAGAACAGGGCAAUGUCCAUUCUCCUUUUAUUUUCUUUAAGCACCUGAUCAUUCUAAAAGCAUGUGUUCCUCCGUGUGUGUGAGUUGUGUACACGUGUGUGUGUGUUCCUUUCUUUUCUCGGACUCCAGGCUCAUGACUGCUUAUUUGCAUGGUGUUUUGGUGUCAAAGGAGUGUUGAAUGUGUUCUCCACACACCCAGCUUUAUUCCACUCUAGGAGUUUAACUUCUUCAGCAUUGUUAUGAGGUCCCCGGUGACCUCAGUUUCUCCUCUCCGCGUCAUCCAGGACUUCACCUGAAGCUUGAGCUACACGUAAGACUUCAUCUACCUUGCACAGGGCAAUGGAGAGAGGAUGGCAUACCAGAAUCACCAGAUGACAGACAUCGGGGUGCUGUCGGACCCGGGAAUCAGAACCUCUGCAGAUAGAUAUUUUGGAAGGCGCUCCCUAGAUUGGCACCUCUGAUUCCUGCAAGUAGACUGACAGCUGCAUGUUUGCAGGAAAGUUAAAUAUUUUGACAGCGCAGAAGACUGCUGCAUCUGGAGGGUUCUGGGUCCAGCUAUAACCAGACUUGCCUGUCCUAAACAAAUGGAUUGACUGCUUCCGGCAUCCUCACUUUACUUCUGCAUGGUGACCAACAUCCGGAGCUUAAUUACCUGACAGCCAGGAGAUAACAAAAAUGUCAUGCCUGAGUCCCUGAUAGCAACCCCAGAGGAGCUCCAGGUUUGAGGCAGCGCUGGCAGGACGUGGUCUAUCUGCCAUCUGAAGCCCUUCAUUGCCCGCCUGGCUGUGAAUCUCACCUCCUCUGUAGUGGAAAACAGGCUGAACAGAACUGGCAGGCAGCUUUGCAGGGGAGCUAAGAUUCUUCCGAGAAAAAGCAGAAUGAGAGAGAGAUAUGCAGCUGCAGUGGAGGACUUGGAAGAGAACAACGCCAGGUCCUGGAUCCUGCAAGAAUCUCCUCUGGAAAAGCAGGGGAGAGAAAAGCAAGGAAGGAAGCAGGGUCACCGCAAGUGUGGGAUUUGUCUUAUUAAAAUCUGAUACUGUGUGGCAGUUUGCUUCACUCUUGGUAUAAAAUGUCUGAGCUCCAUGUUAAAGUAAAUGUAAGUAAUAUAAAUCUGCCUUUCCUGAGGUGAAAAUAGAUCCAUAUUAUUUAAAAUAUGAACUGAGAUAGAUGACAGUUACAAACAUUAUACUUGUUCUUAUUAUAAUUCUUACUAAGCUCAAGGAAUAAAAACUGGGAUGAUGAAAAAGAAGUUCUGAAUGUAAAAAUUGGUGUUUUGGAUAAAAUACAAACCAACCCAGAAAUGAUGAAAAAAA